AAACUGGCGAACGGGUGAGUAACACGUAGGCAACCUGCCUUGGAGAUUGGGAUAACCCCGGGAAACCGGGACUAAUACCGAAUAAUGCAGCGGCUUCUUCGGAAGAUGUUGUUAAAGCGGGCUUCGGCUCGCACUUCAAGAUGGGCCUGCGUCCGAUUAGCUUGUUGGUAAGGUAACGGCUUACCAAGGCGAUGAUCGGUAGCUGGUCUGAGAGGAUGAUCAGCCACACUGGGAUUGAGAUACGGCCCAGACUCCUACGGGAGGCAGCAGUAGGGAAUUUUGCGCAAUGGACGAAAGUCUGACGCAGCAACGCCGCGUGGUCGAUGAAGCUUCUAGGAGUGUAAAGAUCUGUCGUGAGGGAAGAAAAAUUUGGAUGUAAAUAAUGUUCAAACUUGACGGUACCUCACAAGAAAGCACCGGCUAACUUCGUGCCAGCAGCCGCGGUAAUACGAGGGGUGCUAGCGUUGUCCGGAAUAACUGGGCGUAAAGGGUCCGUAGGCGUUUUACCAAGUUGAUCGUUAAAGCCACCGGCUUAACCGGUGAUCUGCGAUCAAAACUGGUAGAAUAGAAUAUGUGAGGGGAAUGUGGAAUUCCUGGUGUAGCGGUGACAUGCGUAGAUAUCAGGAGGAACACCAAUGGCGAAGGCAGCAUUCUGGCACAAUAUUGACGCUAAGGGACGAAAGCGUGGGGAGCGAACAGGAUUAGAGACCCUGGGA
rnacentral:rRNA from 1 species